UUCAUCAAAUUUCAUUGUUUAACAUUUUUAUUAGUGGUCUUAAACGGCGGCAACAAAUCCCUCCGUUUACAAAUUCAACUCUGUAACUGACAAGGUUCCGGAGGUUUUAAUGUUUAGCGAUUGUUCUCUCAUUUCCAAUGAUAGAUGAGUUGGGCAUCUCUUUAUCUCUGGUGUGGACUUUGCGUGUUGCAACCUGAAUUCAGUUACAAUUACAUUUUUAGCGCACAUUUAAUUUCAAGUAUUGUUUGUAAAAAAAGACAUUGAGUGGAAAUACCGUUUGUAUACUUCAUUUUAUUUUGGUCAAUUUUAUGUAGUUGGUUGAAUUGACAAUAUCAACAACAACAACGAAAUAGGAAGUGAUUGAGUUUCCCCCGUUAUUUGCAUGUGGUUGGUUUGUUGCAACUUUUAACGAAAAUUGAAUUAUUAACGCUCAUUUUAUUUUUGGGCGUUAGAAAUGUUUAGUGUCGUCGAUGCCCGCA
rnacentral:lncRNA from 1 species